UGGAUCCAGACUUUGACCCUGGCUCAGGAUGAACGCUAGCUACAGGCUUAACACAUGCAAGUCGAGGGGAAACGACAUCGAAAGCUUGCUUUUGAUGGGCGUCGACCGGCGCACGGGUGAGUAACGCGUAUCCAACCUGCCCACCACUUGGGGAUAACCUUGCGAAAGUAAGACUAAUACCCAAUGAUAUCUCUAGAAGACAUCUGAAAGAGAUUAAAGAUUUAUCGGUGAUGGAUGGGGAUGCGUCUGAUUAGCUUGUUGGCGGGGUAACGGCCCACCAAGGCGACGAUCAGUAGGGGUUCUGAGAGGAAGGUCCCCCACAUUGGAACUGAGACACGGUCCAAACUCCUACGGGAGGCAGCAGUGAGGAAUAUUGGUCAAUGGACGAGAGUCUGAACCAGCCAAGUAGCGUGCAGGAAGACGGCCCUAUGGGUUGUAAACUGCUUUUAUAAGGGAAUAAAGUGAGUCUCGUGAGACUUUUUGCAUGUACCUUAUGAAUAAGGACCGGCUAAUUCCGUGCCAGCAGCCGCGGUAAUACGGAAGGUCCGGGCGUUAUCCGGAUUUAUUGGGUUUAAAGGGAGCGUAGGCCGGAGAUUAAGCGUGUUGUGAAAUGUAGACGCUCAACGUCU
rnacentral:rRNA from 1 species